rnacentral:lncRNA from 10 species
GCUUGAAAGAAGAGAAAGCUGUUUUCUCAGAGUUCUGCAGGCCAGAAAUCCAGAAUCAAGGAAAGCAAAUGGAAAAAGCAAGUGAAGGAAUUCUCCUCUGGAGCCUCAAGAAAGAAAGCAGCCCACUAACACCUUGAUUUUUGUGACACAUUUUGAAACUCUGCUCUCCAGAACUCUAAGAGAAUACAUUUGUGUUGCUUUCAACCACAAAAUUCACAGUAAUCUGUUACAGCAAACAUAGAAAACAAAUAUAAAGGUAACUGACAUUAUUGCAAUGCUGUUUUCUUUCAAGAAUAUGCCACAGCUUUGAUUUAUAUCUUCUUUUAUGUCCUCAAGUCAAGGUUUUGUUUGUUUGCUUGUGUUUUGAGAUAAAGUCUUUCUAUGUCUUCCAGGCUGGAGUUCAAUGGCAUGAUCUUGGCUCACUGUAACCUCCACUCCCCUGGUUCAAGCAAUUCUCCUGUCUCAGCUUCCUGAGCAGCCACCAUGCCCAGCUAAUUUUCGAAUUUUUAGUAGAGACACUGUUUCACCAUGUUGGCCAGGCUGGUCUCGAACUCCUGACCUCAAGUGAUCUGCCCACCUUGGCCUCCCAAAGUCCUGGGAUUACAAACAUGAGUUACCUUGCCCGGCCUUGCUUUUAACAUGAAUGUUCUGUAUUUCUUGUGAAGUUAGCUCUUAAUAAUUUAGGCACAAUAGGUGCUAUUCUUAAUGAGGUGUCUUAUCUUAAGUGGUCUUUAUGGUACAAAGGAAAGUCAUUGCUACCUUUAUUAGUCUGUUUCUAUUCCUCAACUGAUUUAUCUUUGUUUUAUUUGCAUAUCUUGAUUUUCUGUUUUUCUUUUUAAAAUUCCUGUUUUUUCUGUGUACAGUGGCACAUACCUAUAGUCCCAGCUACUUGGGAGGCUGAGGCAGGAGGAUCACUUGAGACUAGGAGUUCAAGGCUGUCAUGUUCCAUGAUUGUACCUCUGAAUAGCCACUAUGUUCUAACUUGGGCAACAGAGCAAGACCCUGUCUCGUAAAACAAAGAAACAAACAAAAAUUCUUGUUUUUAUUUGUAUUAAUUCCUGUUUUCCUUAGGUUUGUUUCAUUGUGUUUAUUCUUGAGUUGAAUGCCCAUGAUUUCCUCAUUUAGUAUUGAAAAUAAUGGGUGUUAUGAUUUUCUUCUCACUGCUUUUGCCAUGUCUUGUGUUUUGACCUGUA